rnacentral:rRNA from 1 species
AGCGAACGUUUGCGGCGGGCCUAACACAUGCAAGUCGAACGCACUAGCAAUAGUGAGUGGCGCACGGGUGCGUAACACGUGGGUAAUCAACCCUUCAGCCUGGGAUAACGACUCGAAAGGGUCGCUAAUACCGGAUACGGCGCGAGAGGCUUCGGCUUCUCACGAGAAAGCCACGCAAGGGGCACUGAAGGACGAGCCUGCGGCCCAUCAGCUAGUUGGUGAGGUAAGAGCUCACCAAGGCUAAGACGGGUAGCUGGUCUGAGAGGAUGAUCAGCCACACUGGAACUGAGACACGGUCCAGACUCCUACGGGAGGCAACAGUGGGGAAUAUUGCGCAAUGGGCGAAAGCCUGACGCAGCCACGCCGCGUGAGCGAUGAAGGCCUGGUCGUAAAGCUCUGUGGGAGAGAGAAGAAGACCUGUGAGAGCAGGCCUUGACGGUAUCUCCUUA